GAGUUAGAUCCAGUCGAGCAUGUCAAAGUUCGACGAAACAGUUUUGGUCAGCCUGUUGGAUCAGAAGCUCGACUUUUAGCAGGAUACUUGGGCAUUUUAGCACGAAAUGCGAAUAUGUUGCCUAUCAACUACGAGUCAUGGCAUAAAAUGCCCGAUAGUAACAAAAACCAAGCCCUCGAUAAUAUUAAGGCGAGGUUUGCUUUAGAGGUCUAGGAUACUUAUGUAAAGAAGGCAUUGGGAAAAAGAUGGAGAGACCAUAAAAGUACUUUAAAGAAAGAUUAUUAUAAGACAAAAAAAACCCUCAAAGAGAAAUUGCAAAAUGUCCCGCCGGGUAUGCUGAGGUACCAAUGAGAAGAAGCGGUUAGAUUUUGGCAAUCGAAGAAAGGCGAGGAUCGUGAACGAGUUGGAAAAAGCAGCAGGCAGAAACAGAAAUUCACUCACACAACCGGGUCGAAAAGUUUUGCAUGUGUAGCUGAGGCGGAGGAACUGUCAUCCGGUCAAAAAGUUGGACGCCUUCAACUUUUUGAAAUUACACAUAGGAAGAAAGAUGGAUCUCCUAUGACUCCUGAAGCUGCAGAAAUUAUGGAAAAACUAAAGGAUAAAAAGGCGGAGUACGAAGCGCUUGCUUCCAGUGAAAGUUCUGUUCAUCUUGAAGACAUUGAUAACCAAAUUAUUGCUGAAGUUUUGGGUCCUGAAAGGUAUGGUCGGGUUAGAUUUCAAGGAUCUUUUAUUAACCCAACCCAAUAUUUUGGAUCCAGCUCGCGGCAAUACAUGCCUUCGGCGAGUCAGUCUCAAGCUGAAGUUCAGAGGUUAAAAGACAAGAUAGCUCAGAUGCAAGCGACCACAAUUGAGGUUCAAAAGAAAUAUGAAGAACUCUAGUUACAACUUAAAGUAGAGGCGG